GUGUCAGCAGCCGCGGUAAUACGGAGGGUGCGAGCGUUGUCCGGAAUCACUGGGCGUAAAGGGCGCGUAGGCGGCCGAGCAAGGUCGCGGUGAAAGCCCGGGGCUCAACCCCGGGUCGGCCGUGGCAACUACUCGGCUCGAGCACUGUAGGGGCGGGUGGAAUUCCGGGUGUAGCGGUGGAAUGCGUAGAGAUCCGGAAGAACACCGGUGGCGAAGGCGGCCCGCUGGGCAGGAAGGGGGAGCAAUCCUCCGGCUGACGCUGAGGCGCGACAGCGUGGGGAGCAAACAGGAUUAGAUACCCUGGUAGUCCACGCCGUAAACGAUGGGCACUAGGUGCCUGGGGGAGCGACCCCCCGGGUGCCGGCGCUAACGCAUUAAGUGCCCCGCCUGGGGAGUACGGCCGCAAGGCUGAA
rnacentral:rRNA from 1 species